rnacentral:rRNA from 1 species
UACGAAGGGGGCUAGCGUUGUUCGGAAUUACUGGGCGUAAAGCGCACGUAGGCGGAUAUUUAAGUCAGGGGUGAAAUCCCGGAGCUCAACUCCGGAACUGCCUUUGAUACUGGGUAUCUUGAGUAUGGAAGAGGUAAGUGGAAUUGCGAGUGUAGAGGUGAAAUUCGUAGAUAUUCGCAGGAACACCAGUGGCGAAGGCGGCUUACUGGUCCAUUACUGACGCUGAGGUGCGAAAGCGUGGGAGCAAACAGGG